CGGGGCGUGCAGGGGGCCGCGCAGGGCCGGAGCCUGUGCCUGCGCCUGCGCCUGCGCCGGGUUUGUCCGGUACGGCUGUGCCGCUCGGUGUGCACCGCUCCUCGGGACAGCGUGUGCCGGGGCCCUCCUCGGGAAAUAUUUCUUCCUUCUAUGGAAACCAACGAGCACCCGGGCCUGCACUCUUGAUAUAAAUACCCGGUGAUGACCGACUUAUUGCGGGCGACCGGGCGACGAAUCCACCGUUGGGACAGCACUGCCGGUGUCAGGCCGUUCUUCCUAGAAAGAAAGAAAGAAAAAAAAUCUAAAAUCUUUAAGAUAUGUGUGGGAUCUGUUGAGUCACGGC
rnacentral:lncRNA from 1 species